rnacentral:rRNA from 1 species
UGUCUUGUAAUUGGAAUGAUGGGAAUUUAAACCUCUUCCAGAGUAUCAAUUGGAGGGCAAGUCUGGUGCCAGCAGCCGCGGUAAUUCCAGCUCCAAUAGCGUAUAUUAAAAUUGUUGCAGUAAAAAGCUCGUAGUUGAAUUUCUGCUGCAUUGCUUUUGCUCCUUUACGAGUCUUUGCAUUGUGGCUUAUUUCGGACUUUGUUUUACAAUGUCCGGAUGUUUACUUUGAGAAAAUUAGAGUGCUCAAAGCAGGCUUUCGCCUUGAAUAGUUUAGCAUGGAAUAAUAAAGUAGGACUUUGGUUCUAUUUUGUUGGUUUUAGGUACCAAAGUAAUGGUUAAUAGGAACAGUUGGGGGCAUUCGUAUUUAACUGUCAGAGGUGAAAUUCUUAGAUUUGUUAAAGACGAACUACUGCGAAAGCAUUUGCCAAGGAUGUUUUCAUUAAUCAAGAACGAAAGUUAGGGGAUCGAAGACGAUCAGAUACCGUCGUAGUCCUAACCAUAAACUA